rnacentral:rRNA from 1 species
AGCUCAAAUUUGAAAUCUGACCCCUGCGGGGCCCGAGUUGUAAUUUGUAGAGGGUGUUUCGGGCGCGGCGCCGGUCUAAGUUCCUUGGAACAGGACGUCGCAGAGGGUGAGAAUCCCGUAUGUGACCGGUGAUCAAGCCCAUGUGAAGCCCCUUCGACGAGUCGAGUUGUUUGGGAAUGCAGCUCAAAAUGGGUGGUAAAUUCCAUCUAAAGCUAAAUAUUGGCCGGAGACCGAUAGCGGACAAGUAGAGUGAUCGAAAGAUGAAAAGCACUUUGGAAAGAGAGUUAAACAGUACGUGAAAUUGUUGAAAGGGAAGCGCUUGCAAUCAGACCGGUCCGGGGGUGAUCAGCCGCUGCUCGUCAGCUGGUGCACUCGCCCCCGAUCCGGCCAGCAUCGGUUUGGGCGGUGGGAUAAAAGCCCCGGGAAUGUAGCUUCUUUCGGGGAGUCUUAUAGCCCGGGGUGCAAUGCUGCCCGCCUGGACCGAGGACCGCGCUUCGGCUAGGAUGCUGGCGUAAUGGUUGCAAGCN